rnacentral:misc_RNA from 1 species
GCUUCUUGAAAUUAGCAGCCUAUAUGAGAACACUUGGAAUAGGUGAACAGACACUUACUGCAAUAAAUAGGAGAGAGGGAGCUCCUCCUGGCAUAGUUAUCUUUUAUGCAAACCACUUGAACUACAAUUCACAAUACAUAUUUGGUUUAUGUGAAAAAUAGAAAAAGAGAAAAGUGAGAAACGUCCUAAUUAGAAUUAUGGUUUUUUUUCCCUUUCAUUUAAU